rnacentral:lncRNA from 1 species
CCGGGUCGCGCAGCCGAGGCCGAGGGCUGGGGCGGGCGGCUGGGAAGUGGGAAAGGGAGCCAGAGGCGCUCCUUUUGUCUUCUCUUCCCAUCCCCCAGGUUUGGGAAAGUUUUACUUUUGGGAAAGCCCCUCUCUUCAUCCUGCUGGCGGGUGUCGGAUUGGUUAGCGGCCACCGGCCCCCGCCGCCCCCAACAGGAUUCUCCUUUGGGCCACAGGUCUUCCGGAAGUUGCCAAACCCCGGUAGUGGCAGCGUCCGGCUGGGGGCUUUAUUAGGGGGCACCGGGGUCUGCUUUCCGACUCCCUUCCGACUCUGCGCCUGCGCAGGAAGCUUUUUGGGGAGUGUUGUGAAUUCCGAGGGCUCCACACUUAAAAGGUUGUACACUCACCUGUCUACCUGGACUCCAAUUUCCAUAUUUCCAGCCACUUGAGGACUGAGAGGUGGAUGAUAAACCCUGUCAUAGUGGAGCAAGUUCAGGUGUUUAACCGCUGUUACGGGGGAUCUGCCUUUUCUCCCUCUCCUUUCUUACUUCCAUGAGUAUGUAUGUGCAGAGAUUGAAAAAUGACCUUGAGAGAGUCCAUCCAUCUAACUCCAGUUCAUUGGAAAUUUCUGCUUCUUUGAGACUGAGGUUAUAUUCCACUUCUUCUGACUACACCACCACCAUCAAGCUCCUUCUCUGAACUCUUGGAUCAUUACUUCAACCUGAAACAACUCAUCAGGCAGAAUAGUUGCCUACUGCCCCAACCCCACCAAAUGUUCCAGCACCUCUGAUAUUACCUCACAUGGCAAGAGGGCUUUGAAGAUGUGAUUGAGUCAAGGAUCUUGAAUGGGGAGAUUAUCCUGAAUUACUCAGGUGGACCCAGUGUAAUCACAAAGGUUUUUCAAAGAUGGAAGAGGGCAGAAGAGCCAGAAAAGGAUAUGUGACAAUGGAGUCAGUGUCAGAGUUGGAGUGACGUGAUGUGAGAAGGAUUCAACCUGCUGUUUCUGGCUUUGAGGAUGAAAGAAGGGGCCAUGAGCCAAGCAAUACAGGUGGCUUCUUUCAAGAAGUUGGAAAAGGAGGAAAGACCAAAAAAGGAUAAAACACACCAAAGUUUGUUCAAUCCAGCCAGUCCCCAGCAAAGACCUAAAAGAAUGAAUUCAUUUUCUGGUAAGUUUUUAUUCCUGUUUUAAAGUUUAACUAUGGAACAGAGUAAGGAGCUCUCCAUGUAAUUAAACGUCUG